rnacentral:rRNA from 1 species
GAUGAACGCUGGCGGCGUGCCUAAUACAUGCAAGUCGAGCGAACAGACGAGGAUCUUGCUCCUCUGACGUUAGCGGCGGACGGGUGAGUAACACGUGGAUAACCUACCUAUAUGACUGGGAUAACUUCGGGAAACCGGAGCUAAUACCGGAUAAUAUAUUGAACCGCAUGGUUCAAUAGUGAAUGACGGUUUUGCUGUCACUUAUAGAUGGAUCCGCGCCGCAUUAGCUAGUUGGUAAGGUAACGGCUUACCAAGGCAACGAUGCGUAGCCGACCUGAGAGGGUGAUCCGCAACACUGGAACAAAGACACGGUCCAGACGCCUAAGGGAGGCAAAAGUAGGGAAUCUUCCGCGAUGGGCGAAAGAGUGACGAAGCAACGCCGCGUGGGUGAAGAAGAUCUUCUGAGCGUAAAACUCUGUUAUGAGGGAAGAACGAAAGUGUAAGUAACUAUACACGUCUUGACGGUACCUAAUCAGAAAGCCACGGCUAACUACGUG